UAAGAUGGUUAUUUAAAACAAAACUGGGUUACAGAUAAAACACAAAUGACACAUAUGAGAAGGCCUAGUGUGUAUUUUCAGUAACUGAUGGAUAUGGUGUGUGGCUAUAAUUGCUUUGAAAUCAAACAAUACUUUAACUUAAGUGUCCUAAAAAGGUUGUCAUGGCGUACUGGCAGACUGAACUUAAACAAAUAUUUAUUUAACACGAAUAUAACAGGGUAACACCACGGCAUUUUUCUUCAAAUUUGACGAAAAAAGACAACAUGUAAAGAGUACUUAUUAUGCAAUACAGUCCGUGACAAUUAUCGUCACUGCAGAUAUUGCACUUUUCCCCUAAAUGUUAACCUUAUUCUAUUGUAACUAUUCUAAUAAAAAUAAAUAACGACAACAUAAAAACACAGGUCAUUAACACAAUACAUUCUUUGUUACAAUUAACGAACAAGAGCUAUUGCACUAGACCCUAACUUAUGGAACCAUAUAUCCUAAUUUUCUAAUUGUCUAAACUAAAUAUUGCACAGUUAACACAAAUUUACAAAAAACAAGUGGAUACAAUAUUCGUUAGCACUUAGAAAACGCGAUAUAUAGCUAUAUUCUAUUGGUCCCUAUGGUUUAUUGCUUUGUGCUGAGGUUUUAUUGCACCAAAUAAAUUUAAAAUGUCCUUGCCACAAUAAUGUUUAGGCACGCUGUUAUUGCACUAAAAAAUUUUGUACGCAGGACAAUAAUUUUUCUGUUGGGCGCCAUAUUGUUAUGUACCACCUGAUGGAGCUGGGCGUUAUGUUUUUAUGGACCGCCUAACUUAGACGCCAUAUUGUUACGUGCCGCUCGAAGCGGUAAAUGGUGGGAUUUCGACAGGCUCAGGCGAGGCAUAUUUACGUCAGGGGGGUUCUCAACCCUUCCACCAUCAGCCCUAGGGGUCAAACAAUCAAAAAGGGAGAUGUCUUCAACUAGCGCUUCAUGAGGGCGUUUGGCGCUAUUUUCGUGCCAUUGGAGGCAAAUGCUAAUUUUAAUGGAGAAUCACGGCUCUUAUGACAACAGACAUCACAAGGCAAUCAGACACGCACGGGAUCAAUUUUCAACAUACAAGUUUGGCUGCUGGUUUCGGGCCGAUUUUUUUCCAAAAAUAUGGAUUGACCACCAAAAUUGCUGACCACCUCCAGGAAGAUAUCUGGA